CGGAUCCAUUGAAAUGAAUGGUUCAGUAUACGAAACGCAAAAAAAAACAGACCGUACACAGAAAAAAGUAAAAGUUUGUGUGCAAGAGGCCUUACACCGGCAGAUCAUCGCUAACGGUAACCUGCCUGAACAUCGGGCAGUGUCCUCUGAACCCAAUGGAACGGACAUUUGUAGGUAGAGCAAGUGAACACAGUUUAGUUAGUUAUUGGUCCACACAGGAUUUGCAUUAGUUUGGAUAUAGGUAAAAUCCAUUGCUUGUUCAUCUGUCAGUCGGCAGUAUUACACUGCCAGAUGAUCACUAAUGAUAGUUCAUACAGAUGUUUGUUAGCUAUUAUCGGCCAGUGUAAAUACAGUCUUUACACUUUCUCCAGACAGUCCCCAUCCGCACACCUCUAAAGUGCUUUGUUGACCCCUGAAUCGUCAUGCCAUCAUAUAAAGCUAGCCUUUCAUAGGAUUUGGAAUGUAGGCAAGUAGAUGAUUUCUCAAAUAGGGGAUGGUUGUUGGCUUUGCUGCAGCAAAUUUGUCACUUAGGGGUGCAAAUCUUCAGGGAUAAUGAGUGAUCUAAAUCUCCACCACUGAUGAAGGAAGCAGCAGAGUUGUUGAUGGCUGGGUUUUGUUACAUCUCUGUUAUCUAACUU